UAAAUCAAUCCUGGCAGAAGAUGGCUAUGCCAGUGCAGUCACCUUUGUCCAGUGCUCCUUAAGAACCACUGAGGGAUAGACACAGCAAAUAAGAUACGGCUAUGAGAUGGCGAGGAAGCUCAGUGUGUUGGAAGUCUUUCUGUUCAUCUGCUUCCUAAUUGUAUUUGCCGCAGAUAUCUUAUUGGUGUUACUGCUGCUGAAUAAGAAUUCUCCAGAUACUCCAUUUACUCCACAGUGC